UUGAAAAACAAAACCCAAAAACUCUUACAAAAUGUACAAAACAUUCAAGGUCUUAAUCUAUUAUAAUACCAUCGUUGGGUGUCUCAGUGUCUAUCAUUCCGACUAAACUUCAUUCCAUCUUUUACUUUGGUGAUAAUAGAUUCCCAUGACUAACGUUCGGGGUUUCGUGUGUUAUCUUAUUUCCGAUAUCAACAGUUUUGACUGCAAACUUUUUAAAAAAUCUAUAGAUCAACUAAAAAUUAGACUAUAUAGUCUUUGGUGCUUUCAUACUAUAAUAAUAUGUACUCUAAAAAAUAAAAUGGUAUAUCAAACGCUGUCGUUUUCUUGUCAACUAACCAUAAUGAGAUAUUUUCUUCAAGCUUGAAACCGAAGAAUCAUAAUGUAUCUCUUACCUAAGCCUCAGUUAGGCCCGACCUAUCGUCCAUCAUCUUAUAAAUUAAUUUAUUUUGUCUGAAACAUCGAAACAAUUUUAAAGCAGAAAUUAAAGUGAAAAAUGGAAAUGAUUCCCAUAUUGAUGAAAACUUGAAAAGUCGGAAUAAUUCGUUGGUCCCUCCAUUAACUAACGUGAAUUAUUGCAAAUGGGACCGUACUAAAAUUUGGGUGUGGUUUCGAUAUAUAGUACCAAAAAAGGUUAAAAAGUAAAACUUAAUUAAAAGAAAUAAAUUGUGUUUGUGUGUGUCGUCGGUGUCGAAGGAUGUUUGGGAACCAAGUGGGGUUAAUUUCAAAGAUUUACAAAAAUGGAAAGUCUUUGGACCGCAAAACGUAUGGACAUCGUACCUAAGUUCCUGACUCCUUACUAUAUUUGUACAUUAACGUGUUCCCCUUUGUCCCUUUUUUGUCAUCUCCUUUAGAUUUUUUCCCUUCUCAAUAAUUUAACCCUGAGUAUUCAUUUGUCCCCAAGCCAUAUCGUAAAUCCGCUUUGUACUAACACAUAUAUAAAUAUCAUCAUCCAAAUUCUUAAUCAUAUGUCUCUAAUUCGACAGUUUAUCUUUUUCUUUGAUAAGUUAAGCCUUGUAACUUAAAACUUCAUUUUGAAAAAUCUUAAAACAUUCUUCUCUCUUG
rnacentral:sRNA from 1 species